UGGGGAAUAUUGCACAAUGGGGGAAACCCUGAUGCAGCGACGCCGCGUGAGCGAAGAAGGCUUUCGAGUCGUAAAGCUCUGUCCUAUGAGAAGAUAAUGACGGUAUCAUAGGAGGAAGCCCUGGCUAAAUACGUGCCAGCAGCCGCGGUAAUACGUAUGGGGCGAGCGUUGUCCGGAAUUAUUGGGCGUAAAGGGUACGUAGGUGGUUUUUUAAGUCAGGUGUCAAAGCGUGGAGCUUAACCCAUUAAGCACUUGAAACUGAAAGACUUGAGUGAAGGAGAGGAAAGUGGAAUUCCUAGUGUAGCGGUGAAAUGCGUAGAUAUUAGGAGGAAUACCGGUGGCGAAGGCGGCUCUCUGGUCUGUAACUGACGCUGAGGCUCGAAAGCGUGGGGAGCGAACAGG
rnacentral:rRNA from 1 species